CGAAACAUAGUUUAAGGAGAAUGUCGGCUUUGGGGGUCGAUGGUGGGGGUUUAAGUCCCCCUGUUUCGA
rnacentral:tRNA from 1 species